UGGAACUUGACGUUGUAUUUCUUCUUUUAACAACACAGAUAGAUUUUAAUAUCUUUUACGAGGAAAGAAUGUUGUAACAUCCCAAGAUGGAGGCAUUCUGGGAUUCACAGUACUGGAAAAACCCACUUCCCGUUCUUGACCUUCAAGGAAAUGAUAUCUGGAAUUCAUCAAAUGAGGACGACGCUCAAGAGAGAAGGCGUUCAAUGGUACAGCAAUUCGCCGCCUCUGGUGCAGUACCAUGGAUAUCAGUAGGGGCCGAAUACAGACCGAUGAAGCAUCGCUUUUACAGAGCAGUGCAGAAGGUUACA